ACCCCUUGAGAGUGGCGAACGGGUGAGUAAUAUAUCGGAACGUGCCCAGUCGUGGGGGAUAACGUAGUGAAAAUUACGCUAAUACCGCAUACGAUCUAAGGAUGAAAGCGGGGGAUCGCAAGACCUCGCGCGAUUGGAGCGGCCGAUAUCAGAUUAGGUAGUUGGUAGGGUAAAGGCCUACCAAGCCAACGAUCUGUAGCUGGUCUGAGAGGACGACCAGCCACACUGGAACUGAGACACGGUCCAGACUCCUACGGGAGGCAGCAGUGGGGAAUUUUGGACAAUGGGCGAAAGCCUGAUCCAGCCAUUCCGCGUGCAGGAUGAAGGCCCUCGGGUUGUAAACUGCUUUUGUACAGAACGAAAAGGUCUCUAUUAAUACUAGGGGCUCAUGACGGUACUGUAAGAAUAAGCACCGGCUAACUACGUGCCAGCAGCCGCGGUAAUACGUAGGGUGCAAGCGUUAAUCGGAAUUACUGGGCGUAAAGCGUGCGCAGGCGGUUAUAUAAGUCAGAUGUGAAAUCCCCGGGCUCAACCUGGGAACUGCAUUUGAGACUGUAUAGCUAGAGUACGGUAGAGGGGGAUGGAAUUCCGCGUGUAGCAGUGAAAUGCGUAGAUAUGCGGAGGAACACCGAUGGCGAAGGCAAUCCCCUGGACCUGUACUGACGCUCAUGCACGAAAGCGUGGGGAGCAAACAGGAUUA
rnacentral:rRNA from 1 species